CAGGGACGCGCAUGAAAUUUGGUGCCGUGACUCAGAUUGGGGGACCUCCCUUGGGAGAUCCAUCCCCUGUCCUCCUGUUCUUUGCUCCGUGAGAAAGAUCCACCUAUGACCACAGGUCCUCAGACCAACCAGCUCAAGAAACAUCUCACCAAUUUCAAAUCCGAUCUUCUUGGCUUAGCGACUGAAGACUGACGCUGCGGAUCGCCUCGGAAGCCCCCUAGACCAUCACGGACGCCGAGCUUCGGGUAACUCUCACAGUGGAAGGUAAGUCCGUCCCCUUCUUAAUCAACACGGAGGCUACCCACUCCAUAUUACCUUCUUUUCAAGGGCCUGUUUCCCUUGCCUCCAUAACUGUUGUGGGUAUUGACGGCCAGGCUUCUAAACCUCUUAAAACUCCCCAACUCUGGUGCCAACUUUGACAAUACUCUUUAAAGCACUCCUUUUAAUUAUCCCCACCUGCCCAGUUCCCUUAUUAGGCCGAGACACUUUAACUAAAUUAUCUGCUUCCCUGACUAUUCCUGGAUCACAGCUACAUCUCAUUGCUGCCCUUCCUCCCAAUCCAAAGCCUCCUUUGCGUCCUCCUGUUGUAUUUCCCUACCUUAACCCACAAUUAUAAGAUACCUCUACUGCCUCCUUGGCGACCAAUCAUGCACCCCUUACCAUCUCAUUAAAACCUAAUCACCCUUACCCCACUCAAUGCCAAUAUCCCAUCCCACAGCAUGCUUUGAAAG
rnacentral:lncRNA from 1 species